UACGUAGGGAGCGAGCGUUAUCCGGAUUUAUUGGGCGUAAAGGGUGCGUAGGCGGUUUGUUAAGUAUGAAAUUAAAGCCUGGAGCUUAACUCCAGUUCGUUUCAUAAACUGGCAGACUAGAGUAUGGUAGAGGUAAACGGAAUUUCUAGUGUAGCGGUAAAAUGCGUAGAUAUUAGAAAGAACACCAGUGGCGUAGGCGGUUUACUGGGCCAAAACUGACGCUGAGGCACGAAAGCGUGGGGAGC
rnacentral:rRNA from 1 species